AACGUAGGUGGCAAGCGUUAUCCGGAUUUACUGGGCGUAAAGGGUGUGCAGGCGGGGAAACAAGUGGGGUAUGAAAUCUCCCAGCUUAACUGGGAUAGGUUAUGCCAGACUGGUUUUCUAGAGUGCGAGAGAGGGGCGUGGAAUUCCGGGUGUAGUGGUGAAAUGCGUAGAGAUCCGGAGGAACCCCAGAGGCGAAGGCGGCGCCCUGGCUCGCAACUGACGCUCAGACACGACAGCAUGGGGAGCGAACGGG
rnacentral:rRNA from 1 species